rnacentral:rRNA from 1 species
UACGUAGGGCGCAAGCGUUGUCCGGAAUUAUUGGGCGUAAAGAGCUCGUAGGCGGCCUGUCGCGUCUGCUGUGAAAUCCCGGGGCUUAACCCCGGGCGUGCAGUGGAUACGGGCUGGCUGGAGGCAGGCAGGGGAGAACGGAAUUCCCGGUGUAGCGGUGAAAUGCGCAGAUAUCGGAAGGAACACCAGUGGCGAAAGCGGCUUCCUGGUCCAGCACCGACGUUCAGGCACGAAAGCGUGGGGAGCAAACAGG